AGAGUUUGAUCAUGGCUCAGAACGAACGUUAGCGGCGCGCCUAACACAUGCAAGUCGGACGAGAAAGGGCUUCGGCCCCGGUAAAGUGGCGCACGGGUGAGUAACACGUGGGUAACCUGCCCUCGAGCGGGGGAUAACAUUCCGAAAGGAGUGCUAAUACCGCAUAAGACCACGACCUCGAAAGAGGAUGGGGUAAAAGCUGGCCUCUGUACACAAGCUAGCACUCGAGGAUGGGCCCGCGGCGCAUCAGGUAGUUGGUGAGGUAACGGCUCACCAAGCCGAAGACGCGUAGCUGGUCUGAGAGGAUGAUCAGCCACACUGGAACUGAGACACGGUCCAGACUCCUACGGGAGGCAGCAGUGGGGAAUCUUGCGCAAUGGGCGAAAGCCUGACGCAGCGACGCCGCGUGGGUGAUGAAGGCCUUCGGGUUGUAAAGCCCUGUGGGGAGAGACGAAUAAGUGCAGCCUAAUACGUUGCAUGAUGACGGUAUCUCCUUAGCAAGCACCGGCUAACUCUGUGCCAGCAGCCGCGGUAAGACAGAGGGUGCGAACGUUGUUCGGAAUUACUGGGCGUAAAGCGUGUGUAGGCGGUCCACUAAGUCGGGUGUGAAAGCCCGAGGCUCAACCUCGGAAGUGCACUCGAAACUGGCGGGCUAGAGUACCGGAGAGGUUGGUGGAAUUCUCGGUGUAGAGGUGAAAUUCGUAGAUAUCGAGAGGAACACCGGUGGCGAAGGCGGCCAACUGGACGGAUACUGACGCUGAGACACGAAAGC
rnacentral:rRNA from 1 species